UACGUAGGGUGCGAGCGUUGUCCGGAAUUAUUGGGCGUAAAGGGCUCGUAGGCGGUUUGUCGCGUCGGGAGUGAAACCUGGGGCUCAACUUCAGGAUUGCGGGCGAUACGGGUGGGCUGGAGUUCGGUAGGGGAGACUGGAAUUCCUGGUGUAGCGGUGAAAUGCGCAGAUAUCAGGAGGAACACCGGUGGCGAAGGCGGGUCUCUGGGCCGAUACUGACGCUGAGGAGCGAAAGCGUGGGAGCGAACAGG
rnacentral:rRNA from 1 species